rnacentral:rRNA from 1 species
AUUGAACGCUGGCGGCAUGCUUUACACAUGCAAGUCGGACGGCAGCACAGAGAAGCUUGCUUCUUGGGUGGCGAGUGGCGAACGGGUGAGUAACAUAUCGGAACGUACCGAGUAGUGGGGGAUAACUGAUCGAAAGAUCAGCUAAUACCGCAUACGUCUUGAGAGGGAAAGCAGGGGACCUUCGGGCCUUGCGCUAUUCGAGCGGCCGAUAUCUGAUUAGCUAGUUGGUGGGGUAAAGGCCUACCAAGGCGACGAUCAGUAGCGGGUCUGAGAGGAUGAUCCGCCACACUGGGACUGAGACACGGCCCAGACUCCUACGGGAGGCAGCAGUGGGGAAUUUUGGACAAUGGGCGCAAGCCUGAUCCAGCCAUGCCGCGUGUCUGGAGAAGGCCUUCGGGUUGUAAAGGACUUUUGUCAGGGGAGAAAAGGCUGUUGCUAAUAUCAAGCGGCUGAUGACGGUACCUGAAGAAUAAAGCCC